rnacentral:miRNA from 1 species
AUGGACUGUACUUUGUAAAGCGGA